rnacentral:rRNA from 1 species
GAUGAACGCUAGCGGCAGGCCUAAUACAUGCAAGUCGGACGGGAUCCAUCGGAGAGCUUGCUCGAAGAUGGUGAGAGUGGCGCACGGGUGCGUAACGCGUGAGCAACCUACCUCUAUCAGGGGGAUAGCCUCUCGAAAGAGAGAUUAACACCGCAUAACAUCAACAGUUCGCAUGUUCAGUUGAUUAAAUAUUUAUAGGAUAGAGAUGGGCUCGCGUGACAUUAGCUAGUUGGUAGGGUAACGGCUUACCAAGGCGACGAUGUCUAGGGGCUCUGAGAGGAGAAUCCCCCACACUGGUACUGAGACACGGACCAGACUCCUACUGGAGGCAGCAGUAAGGAAUAUUGGUCAAUGGGCGGAAGCCUGAACCAGCCAUGCCGCGUGCAGGAAGACUGCCCUAUGGGUUGUAAACUGCUUUUGUCCAGGAAUAAACCUAUCUACGUGUAGAUAGCUGAAUGUACUGGAAGAAUAAGGAUCGGCUAACUCCGUGCCAGCCGCCGCAGUAA